rnacentral:rRNA from 1 species
ACCUGACUGCUAUCGGAUUGAUACUAAGCCAUGCGAGUCAUUGUAGCAAUACAAGGCAUACGGCUCAGUAACGCGUAGUCAACCUAACCUAUGGACGGGAAUAACCUCGGGAAACUGAGAAUAAUGCCCGAUAGAACACUAUACCUGGAAUGGUUUGUGUUCCAAAUGAUUUAUCGCCAUAGGAUGGGACUGCGGCCUAUCAGUUUGUUGGUGAGGUAAUGGCCCACCAAGACUAUUACAGGUACGGGCUCUGAGAGGAGUAGCCCGGAGAUGGGUACUGAGACACGGACCCAGGCCCUAUGGGGCGCAGCAGGCGAGAAAACUUUGCAAUGUGCGAAAGCACGACAAGGUUAAUCCGAGUGAUUUGUGCUAAACGAAUCUUUUGUUAGUCCUAGAAACACUAACGAAUAAGGGGUGGGCAAGUUCUGGUGUCAGCCGCCGCGGUAAAACCAGCACCUCAAGUGGUCAGGAUGAUUAUUGGGCCUAAAGCAUCCGUAGCCGGCUCUGUAAGUUUUCGGUUAAAUCUGUACGCUUAACGUACAGGCUGCCGGGAAUACUGCAGAGCUAGGGAGUGGGAGAGGUAGACGGUACUCGGUAGGAAGUGGUAAAAUGCUUUGAUCUAUCGAUGACCACCUGUGGCAAAGGCGGUCUACCAGAACACGUCCGACGGUGAGGGAUGAAAGCUGGGGGAGCAAACCGGAUUAGAUACCCGGGUAGUCCCAGCUGUAAACUAUGCAAACUCGGUGAUGCAUUGGCUUGUGGCCAAUGCAGUGCUGCAGGGAAGCCGUUAAGUUUGCCGCCUGGGAAGUACGUACGCAAGUAUGAAACUUAAAGGAAUUGGCGGGGGAGCACCACAAGGGGUGAAGCCUGCGGUUC